CCUACGGGCGGCAGCAGUGAGGAAUAUUGGUCAAUGGGCGAGAGCCUGAACCAGCCAAGUCGCGUGAGGGAGUACUGCCCUAUGGGUUGUAAACCUCUUUUGUCGGGGAGCAAAAGCCGGACGUGUCCGGCUGUGAGAGUACCCGAAGAAAAAGCAUCGGCUAACUCCGUGCCAGCCGCCGCGGUAAUACGGAGGAUGCGAGCGUUAUCCGGAUUUAUUGUGUUAAAGGGGUGGGCGGGCGGAUUUUUAAGUUGGCGGUUAACUCGGGGGGCGAAACCCCAUCCAGCCGUUGAAACUGGGGAUCUAGAGUGUGCUAGAGGUAGGCGGAAUGCGUGGUGUAGCGGUGAAAUGCAUAGAGAUCACGCAGAACCCCGAUUGCGAAGGCAGCAUACCGGUGCACAACUGACGCUCAGGCACGAAAGCGUGGGUAUCGAACAGGAUUAGAUACCCGGGUAGUC
rnacentral:rRNA from 1 species